UCACGUCACUCCCCCUGCCAAUCCACUUCCAAUCCACGUCGUGUGAGAAGGUUCUAGUUAGGGUCACGAGUUUGUAUCGAGCUGCAUGCUGGGGUGUUGUGCAACAGGAGGGUUGAGGUGUGUGUGUGUGUGUCACAGCACUUUUGCAGCAAAAACAAAAGUGCUGUGCUGUGCAAUCCAGAGGCAGAAUAGUGUACUGUACUUAGCCCUGUAGUGGAACUGAUGAAUGAUAUGGCUAUAAUUGUCAGACC